rnacentral:rRNA from 1 species
ACGCUCGACACCUACGGGAGCAGCAGUAGGGAAUCUUCCACAAUGGGCGCAAGCCUGAUGGAGCAACACCGCGUGAGUGAAGAAGGGUUUCGGCUCGUAAAGCUCUGUUGUUGGAGAAGAACGUGCGUGAGAGUAACUGUUCACGCAGUGACGGUAUCCAACCAGAAAGUCACGGCUAACUACGUGCAGCAGCCGCGGUAAUCUGAGCGGGCUGGCAAGGC